rnacentral:rRNA from 1 species
UACGAAGGGGGCUAGCGUUGCUCGGAAUCACUGGGCUUAAAGCGUGUGUAGGCGGACCCCUAAGUGUCUUGUGAAAUCCCACGGCUCACCCGUGGAACCGCUGGGCAUACUGGGGGUCUUGGGCCAUUCAGGGGCAACUGGAACAAGCGGUGGAGCGGUGAAAUGCGUAGAUAUCGCUUGGAACGCCGAAGGUGAAAACAGGCUGCUGGGGUUGCGCCGACGCUGAGACACGAAAGCCAGGGGAGCAAACGGG